rnacentral:lncRNA from 1 species
GAGGUUCUGUUACUCGUUCGCUACACAUGCAUGCUGCUUUGCUUUCUGCACACAUCCAACCUCGCUUAACUGGCAGGCACGACAGUAUCCAUCCUUCUUAAUUAUUAUUCUUUACCAAUCACAAUCGCACUUACUCUUAAUGAUUGAUGAUACUACAAAGUAACAACAUUGAUUGAUUAUUAUCUGUGUUCAUGAAUCCAGGAAGCAAAAGAGAUCCAGCAGAAGAAGGAGGCGCUGUAUCUCCAGAACAGAGUUCUUUGAGAAAUCAGGCCUACUUUUGUUCUAUUAAUCUACUCCUAACAUAUUGGUUGUUUCUUCAAGAACAGAGGGAAACGUGAAAUAUUAUUAGUUGUAUCAGAAUAACAUGUGAAUUGUUAUUAGUUGUAUCGGAAUAGCAUGUGAACUGUUCUUAGUUGCUUCAGAAUAGCAUGUGAAGUAUUCUUAGUUGUUCCAUAAUAGCAUGUGAAGUAUUCUUAGUUGUUCCAGAAUAGCAUGUGAAGUACAUCUCCCUUUGUAGCUUGGCCUAGGGUCAGUUGAAUGCUCAAGACAUGGGUAGUUUAGUUUCAGGUUCAGGUUCAGCGAGAUGGCUCUUUGAACCAUGAGUAGGUAGCACAACGCAUGCCUUGCCGGCUGACAGUAGUUGUGAUGCGGCUCUACUACUGUACCAUGUGUUCCUACUACUAGCUCUAGUCGUGGAUGCUAGGUAGCUCCAUGUUUUCUCUGUUUUUAUGUAAUCCUAGAUAGAACCAUACAACUGUGGAUGACAAACACUGCAAUUUAAUCUAAAAUUGUCAUCAUGAUCCUAGCAAAUACUCCUCAAAUUACUGUAAAUUGUUGCACGAUUAGGGGCUAGUGUAGAUGCAAAAUAAGGUUGCACUUUUAGAGGAGAUAAUCCACUGAUGUUGGAUGCUUGGUAGUUGUCUUGUGUUGUGUGCAUGUCGGUACUAGUAGUAUGUCCGUGAGCAACAAGCAUACGAUUUGUGCCUAUGCUCUACUAUAUUGGCCUCAUGGGUCAUCGCUGAUUGACCAGGACUAUAGAUUAUUCCUUCAGCGUACUAUUGCUUUCUCAAGUCAACUCAAGCAACAAUUCAUGUGGCUCGCUCAAUCGGGUGGGCGGCAUAUUUAUUCAGUAUAUUCUCUGAAAUUGCAAGUUCUGAAGUGUAUCAUUUUUUUUGUGCAGUCAGAGAGCUGAACGGGGCGAGGACGGAGGCGUCGGUGAGGGCGUACGGCGGCGCCGGCCAGAGCAAGGUGUCCAACAAAUGGGUUAAGUCGAAUUAGCAUUUUGUACUAGCCAUCCCUGUUUCCUGCUUUUAUAUGUACACAAACUCGAACCUAAGUUAGGCCUUUGCAUUGUCAUGGUGGUCUCUGUGUGUGAUUCCGCAUGGUAAUACUGAUGCAUAAAACUUGGUUUGGUAUGGAAUUGGCAACCUAUUUAAGUUGUUAGUUUACUUGUGGAUUUUGACAUAGUGAUCCCUUAAUCCUUGUAGAGCAUUUUUGUUUGCUCUGAACCUGACUGUUAUGUCAGUUUUCAUGUGACAACCUUGAUGUGCUAGUUUAUUUUAUUGCAAAGCUUGCCGUGCAAGGUGCAGAGCAUAAGGUGCCCUGCUUGUAUCGUGCUGAAUCUAGUUAGGCAGAGGAAUCCUUGCUAAUUCUGGCAAGUUUUUUGCUUUCACAUCCGAGUUAAAGAAAACUGGAAUUGAUCUUACAAGUGGCUCAAAAUGUAAGACUGUCUGAUUCCAUUUUAAGGUUGUCACUAACCUGGUAGUUUUAUUUGGUGAUGCAGUUUGUAAGUUAAAAUGAUGCCCAGGGUUCAGGACAUGUGUGAUUUCUCUUGACAUAGGUGCUCCUUCAUUUCCGCUGCCAUAUGCUAGAGCCGGCAAUGGA